AGAGUUUGAUCCUGGCUCAGGAUGAACGCUAGCGGCAGGCCUAACACAUGCAAGUCGAGGGGUAAUCCCGCUUUCGGGCGGGAACGACCGGCGCACGGGUGAGUAACGCGUAUGCAACCUACCUUUAACAGGGGGAUAGCCCGAAGAAAUUCGGAUUAAUACCCCAUAAUACUAUGAAUAAGCAUUUAUUUAUAUUAAAAACUCCGGUGGUUAAAGAUGGGCAUGCGUAACAUUAGUUAGUUGGUGAGGUAACGGCUCACCAAGACUACGAUGUUUAGGGGGCCUGAGAGGGUGGUCCCCCACACUGGUACUACACGGACCAGACUCCUACGGGAGGCAGCAGUGAGGAAUAUUGCGCAAUGGAGGCAACUCUGACGCAGCCAUGCCGCGUGCAGGAUGACGGCCCUACGGGUUGUAAACUGCUUUUAUACAGGAAGAACUUUCCGCACGUGUGCGGGAUUGACGGUACUGUACGAAUAAGCACCGGCUAACUCCGUGCCAGCAGCCGCGGUAAUACGGAGGGUGCAAGCGUUAUCCGGAUUUAUUGGGUUUAAAGGGUGCGUAGGCGGGAUAAUAAGUCAGUGGUGAAAUACUGCAGCUCAACUGUAGAACUGCCAUUGAUACUGUUAUUCUUGAGUUCGAUUGGGGUAGGCGGAAUGUGUAAUGUAGCGGUGAAAUGCUUAGAUAUUACACAGAACACCGAUUGCGUAGGCAGCUUACUAAGUCGACACUGACGCUGAGGCACGAAAGCGUGGGGAGCGAACAGGAUUAGAUACCCUGGUAGUCCACGCUGUAAACUAUGAUCACUAGCUGUUGGCGAUACAUCGAUCAGCGGCAAAGCGAAAGCAUUAAGUGAUCCACCUGGGGAGUACGGUCGCAAGAUUGAAACUCAAAGGAAUUGACGGGGGCCCGCACAAGCGGUGGAACAUGUGGUUUAAUUCGAUGAUACGCGAGGAACCUUACCUGGGCUUAAAUGCAGAUUGACGUUUCGGGAAACCGGAAUUCUCUUCGGAGCGAUUUGCAAGGUGCUGCAUGGUUGUCGUCAGCUCGUGCCGUGAGGUGUCGGGUUAAGUCCCAUAACGAGCGCAACCCCUAUUGUUAGUUGCCAGCGGAUAAUGCCGGGGACUCUAACGAAACUGCCGGUGUAAACCGAGAGGAAGGUGGGGAUGACGUCAAAUCAGCACGGCCCUUAUGUCCAGGGCUACACACGUGUUACAAUGGUCGGUACUGAGGGCAGCUACCUGGUGACAGGAUGCUAAUCUCGAAAGCCGGUCUUAGUUCGGAUCGAAGUCUGCAACUCGACUUCGUGAAGCUGGAAUCGCUAGUAAUCGCGCAUCAGCAACGGCGCGGUGAAUACGUUCCCGGGCCUUGUACACACCGCCCGUCAAGCCAUGGAAGCUGGGGGUACCUGAAGUCUGUAACCGCAAGGAGCGGCCUAGGGUAAAACUAGUGACUGGGGCUAAGUCGUAACAAGGUA
rnacentral:rRNA from 1 species